GACGAACGCUGGCGGCGCGCUUAACACAUGCAAGUCGAGCGAUGAAAUUUCGACAGUUCCCUUCGGGGUGAAGAUGAAAUGGAUUAGCGGCGGACGGGUGAGUAACACGUGAGUAACCUGCCUUUGACAUUGGGAUAGCCUCGGGAAACUGGGAUUAAUACCAAAUGACACUAACUGAUCACAUGAUCAAUUAGUCAAAGAAAUUCGGUCAAAGAUGGACUCGCGGCUGAUUAGCUAGUUGGUGAGGUAACGGCCCACCAAGGCGACGAUCAGUAGCCGGCCUGAGAGGGUGAUCGGCCACAUUGGAACUGAGACACGGUCCAAACUCCUACGGGAGGCAGCAGUGGGGAAUAUUGCACAAUGGGGGAAACCCUGAUGCAGCGACGCCGCGUGAGCGAAGAAGGCCUUCGGGUCGUAAAGCUCUUUUAUGAGGGAAGAUAAUGACGGUACCUCAAGAAAAAGCCCCGGCUAACUACGUG
rnacentral:rRNA from 1 species